GAUACCAAAUUAGAGAGUUAUCUACUAAACUGCUGAUAUACCAAAAACCCUUUUCCUGUUGUUUUUAUUGUUGUUGUUUUUUUUUACCUUUCAGCUGUUUAGUAGAUAGCUCUCUAAUUUGGUAUC